CUUUUGAUUUAGAUCUCUCUUUUUCUUCAAUAUCAAAUCAACAAAAGUUUCUUUAUGAAUUUUAACUUUGGAUCAUGUGUGAGUAACAUAAUGAUUCAUAUUUUGUCAACAAAAUUAAAAAAACCAUGAUGACUAAUGAUUUUGGAAUAUGUGGUAAUAAGAUAAUGACGAUGAUGUAGAACACACUAUCUUAGGAUGUUAUAUGAUAAACAACAAAAUGCCAAAAACAGAAAAAUAUGGUCCCCGGCUGAAAUUAG
rnacentral:lncRNA from 1 species